rnacentral:rRNA from 1 species
UACGACGGGGGCUAGCGUUGCUCGGAAUCACUGGGCGUAAAGGGUGCGUAGGCGGGUCUUUAAGUCAGGGGUGAAAUCCUGGAGCUCAACUCCAGAACUGCCUUUGAUACUGAAGAUCUUGAGUCCGGGAGAGGUGAGUGGAACUGCGAGUGUAGAGGUGAAAUUCGUAGAUAUUCGCAAGAACACCAGUGGCGAAGGCGGCUCACUGGCCCGGUACUGACGCUGAGGCACGAAAGCGUGGGGAGCAAACAGG